UACGUAGGGGGCAAGCGUUGUCCGGAAUCAUUGGGCGUAAAGAGCGUGUAGGCGGCCCGGUAAGUCCGCUGUGAAAGUCCAGGGCUCAACCCUGGGAUGCCGGUGGAUACUGUCGGGCUCGAGUCCGGAAGAGGAGUGUGGAAUUCCUGGUGUAGCGGUGAAAUGCGUAGAUAUCAGGAGGAACACCGGUGGUGUAGACGGCUUUCUGGACCAUAACUGACGCUGAGACACGAAAGCGUGGGUAGCAAACAGG
rnacentral:rRNA from 1 species